rnacentral:lncRNA from 1 species
AACCGCUUUCUGAUCUUUUAUUAUAAUAUUCUUUAAAAAAAAUUUCGGUAAUUACUCCUAACGAUACAACGACCACGUUCCACCUCGUCGGCACUCUUUCAAGAUGGUGCAAGACGAAGCCAACCAGCUUCAGAUCCAGCAAAAAAAAAAAACUCGGCGAAAAUCCAGAAAGUGAGAGGCUUUAGGUAUGCUCGGAUUAUUAUUAUUUAACUCGUGCAAUUUCGCUCCAUAUUUAUAAUCUAGAAGAGAAUUUUGCUUUAACGCGUCAAAUCCGUAUAGAAUAAGAUAAGAUUAAGAUUAUACGGAUAAGGAUUAGGAUUAGGAUUAGUAAAAAGAUAAAUAUUAAAAUAAACAUAAAACCGACAAAAUAAAAUAAACCGGGUGUAUGUACCGCGCGCGCCGCCGCCGUUACCCACUCGGCUCGUGCCGUGCGUGUGUGUAUUUAAACAAGAGCAUUACUCUCAUUUUCUUUCAAGCAACUAAUUUAAGAAUAAAGUAAUAUAUAAAAACCACAAACACCAUUUUCGUUUCCAAUGUGGGACUAAACAUCUCAAAUGAAAAUUUUAGUUGGGCUCCCCAAGCGGCCCAUUAACAAUUAUUGGACUCUCAAGAGACUUUAAUAAGUUUUAAAUCAUAACAAACCCAAUAAAAUCCAAUAGAACCUUGGAAAUAUAUUUUUAUUUUUAUUAUAUAUAAGAGCGUAUAGGAAUUCCGACAAUGACAGACGGAAUCCAAAAAUAAAUAAAAUAAUAUUCCCUACAAAUGAUUCUGAUUAAUUUGUUAAAAUUAUCCAAAAUAAAAAAGAACGAUUAUGAUCAAUCUAUUAAAUCUCUACUAUAUAUAAAAAUCUAUUCCCUACAAAUAGUUAUGAUUAAUUUGUUAAAAAACUAUUUUACAUUAAAAUUAAUAUUUGAGUUUAAAUUAUGAAUUAAAUUUAAUAUUUGAUAUCAAAUUUGAAUUAACAAUUAAUUUUUUUUAUUACAGAUCAAAAUUAAAUUUUAAAUUUUAAAAUAAAUGUGAAUUAUAUUUUGAUGCGUUUAGUUUAAAACACAUAUUUAAAAAAGAAUACGGUAGGAUAUUAUAAAUAUUUUCUAAUAAAAUAUAACAUAUUAAUUUAUAAAUAUAAUUUUUAUUGUAAAAUUUUGUAUAUAUAUAAUGUACAAAUUUAUAUUGAUUUAAAAUAAAUUAUAAUAAUUAUUACGUACAUUUGCACGUACAUUCAACUAGUAUAUAUAAAGAGAGAUAGAGAGUAGAUCUUUUGUGCUAUAAUUAGGAGCACGGAGGUCUUGCUGCGACUAAGUCGUUUUGGAUGAAGGAGCUACCAAGUUGUUUUCAAUGACGUGGCUUCCAAAUCGACGAUCCAUUCCGUUAGACUUGAUCUACACUAUUAAAAAUAUUUGAAAACUAAAUUUCAUAAUUUUUUGACAUCAUUUGGCUAGUGAUCAAAAUGUCUUAAGAUGGACAAUUUUAAUGGUAAAUGUGAUGCAUUUGUAAAUUUAACGGUGUAAACAAUUCAAAUAUUUUGAGACCUUUUGAUCACUAGCCAAAUGAUGUCAAAAAAUUAUGAAAUUUAGUUUCUAAAUAUUUUUAAUAUUUGGACACUAUACCAGUCUAGUUAUCGAUAUUAUACCAGUCUAGCUAUAUAUUUAUAUAUAUGAGUAAUGUUA